rnacentral:rRNA from 1 species
AGUGAACGCUGGCGGUAGGCCUAACACAUGCAAGUCGAACGGCAGCACAGUAAGAGCUUGCUCUUACGGGUGGCGAGUGGCGGACGGGUGAGGAAUACAUCGGAAUCUACUUUUUCGUGGGGGAUAACGUAGGGAAACUUACGCUAAUACCGCAUACGACCUACGGGUGAAAGCAGGGGAUCUUCUGACCUUGCGCGAUUGAAUUAGCCGAUGUCGGAUUAGCUAGUUGGCGGGGUAAAGGCCCACCAAGGCGACGAUCCGUAGCUGGUCUGAGAGGAUGAUCAGCCACACUGGAGCUGAGACACGGUCCAGACUACUACGGGAGGCAGCAGUGGGGAAUAGUAGACAAUGGGCGGAAGCAUGAUCCAGCGAUACCGCGUGGGUGACGAAGGCGUUCGGGUUGUAAAGACCUUUUGUUGGGAAAGAAAAGCAGCAGGUUAAUACCACGCUGUUCUGACGGUACCCAAAGAAGAAGCACCGGCUAACUUCGUG